GUUCAGCUUGGAGCAUUGAGCAGCAUCUCCAGAGGACAAACUAAGGGAGGUACAACUCUGAGGUUGUACCAGACCUGGAAAGUAAUUACGCAUCAGCUACUUGGAAAGGAGACUUAAUGCCAGGGAGUGUGUGUAUCUCCUUGAGGAACAGAAUGCCUGAAAUCAUUGGAUUCCAGGGUAGCUCAGACUAUAUCAGACUCAAACGUAUGAUUGCAGCUCUUAAAGUGUAAUGAGACCCAACUGUACAGUGAAACAUUUCCA
ensembl:lncRNA